GAGACACAAAACUAUCAAAAAGACUCACAAAAAGAAUGUAAAUAAAGGCAACAGUAGUAUACCGCUGUUCGAACUCAUAAAUCCAUGGACAAAAAACAAAAUCGGGGUAACAAACUAAAACUGAGGGAAGCGCAUUAAAUAUAAGAGGAGAACAACGACACAACACUACAAUGUAAGACACACAGAAACGGACCAAGCAUCAGACAAAAUCCCACGAAAAUAACAAAUAUAACAUCAAAACCAAAUAAAUGAAUUUGGGAUAGACAAGUACCGUGACACGUCUUAUCGCAAUGUCAAUUUACACUCAAAAAUAAGAGAAAACAAACGACGCAACGUUAAAUUGUAACACACAUAGAAACGAACUAUAAUAUAACAAUGGCCAUAUUCCAGACUUGGUACAGGACAUUUUUAAAGGAAAAAAUGGUGGGUUGAACCUGGUUUUGUGGCAUGCCAAACCUCCCCUUUUAUAGCCAUGUGAAAUAUAACAUUAAAAUGACAACUCCACACCACAGGACUACAAUAUAAAUAAAUUGGAGAACACAAUUGACAAAGAAACACACGAACAACAGCCAACAAAAGGCAACAAGUUCAAAAUUUUAAUACGCCAGAAGUGCAUUUUGUCCACACAAGAUAUAAUAGUGACGCCCAGAUACAAAAGUUUGAAAGCCGAAACAAGCACGAAGUCGAACAGCAUCGAGGACCAAAAGAUAAAAUAAGGUUGUGCCAAAAACGGCCAGGGUUUUCUGUUAGUUACCAGAGCAUCCCUAUUAUUUAGAAUAAUUUAUACUUUUGCAAACAGUAAAUUUAUAAAAUUACUAUACAAAAGAUUUACAUGAUGAAACUGAAGUAUGAACUAAUUACAGGAAACAACUGAAAUGCAUUACAUAACCAGACAUUUGCAACACAAAAUGUAGACACAUCCGAAUAAGUUUAAAACUCAACGCCAAGUGACGUCAUAUUUGAAAUUGUAAAAAAUGACAAAAAAAUGACGUCAUUUGAAUUUGUAAAACAGAUCAUUAAAAAAUGAAAAAUGACGUCGCAUUUGAAUGAAUAAGAUAUUAUUAAAAGCUUAUACUACAUACACCCAUGACAUGAUCAACCCUGAACAGAAAUUCAAUCCUAAGAAGUUUUGAAGCUUAAUAAAGAAUAAAAGAUGCCAAAAUGGAGGAGUGGCGCCACUUAGACACACAAAUGUAGUUCUAAUGUUCAAGAAAAGGAAUCGUAGCCAAGCAUCAAACUACCAAAAUUUCUUGCUUACUACAAUAUUAUGAAAGUAUUGGUGCAUAUCACAUUAAACACAUAGAAAGUCACUUCAUCUCGACUGAUGCUCCACAUGGUUUUAGAGAAUGGCGGUCCAGUUCAUAAAUGUGCACGCUACCCUCCCCCCCCCC
rnacentral:lncRNA from 1 species